rnacentral:rRNA from 1 species
UACGAAGGGGGCUAGCGUUGCUCGGAAUCACUGGGCGUAAAGCGCACGUAGGCGGAUUGUUAAGUCAGGGGUGAAAGUCCGGGGCUCAACUCCGGAUCUGCGGUGGGUACGGGCAGACUAGAGUGAUGUAGGGGAGACUGGAAUUCCUGGUGUAGCGGUGAAAUGCGCAGAUAUCAGGAGGAACACCGGUGGCGAAGGCGGGUCUCUGGGCCGAUACUGACGCUGAGGAGCGAAAGCGUGGGGAGCGAACAGG